GCAUUAUAACUUCGUGACUAACUUUCUCUCGGGCCUUCUCUUUUGAGUUAGUGGUUCUAGAGAUUGCCUUGGAGAAUGUGGUACUUCAAUCUCCAUUGCGAGGUCUGGUGGAUCAUCUACACCUGGAGUUGAUUGUCGAGAUGAUCCUGUUAGUCGAGGUGCAUCAGGAAGUGGGCAGGUUACAUCUUUACAUUCGUAUCUGCAAAACGGCCUUAUCUUUUCGUAAAGGUACCAUUUCCUUUCAGUUGACAUACCCUUUGGUGGUAAUAUAUUAGGUAGUUCAUCUUCCAUUAUUUGAGCGUCCUCCUUCAGCAAAUUGAAUUGUGUGACUGGGCCUUCUACAGCUUGUCUGGCUGCAACUACACCAGCAAAGUAACUACACCAGUCAAGUGUUUCUACAAUGAGUUCACCAUUGCUACUUCCUACUGGUUGGGUUUUGUUCACAGCAGAUGAUUGUUCUACAACUUGAAUGAAGUCAUCCAAUGAGUCCACCUCUGCUUUACGGAAUUUUUGCUUUAAUAGUCCGAAGCACCAGUCAGGAGAAAAUUUUGUGUGUCCAACUGG